UGGCACAGCUCUGCAAACGUGUGCAGUGAAGAGACCAACUGUUAAGUUCACUUCUGGUAAGGCCUUAAACAAGCAAUUCAAGCAAGAUUUAAGUACCUACAACUAAGCCUGAGAAUGAACAUUGGAACGAUUUAAAGGCACACCACAAAAAGGAAAGAAACAUAGGUAAAAUGUCACAACUAAAUCAAAACGUAAGAAGAAAAUCAGGUACUAAGCUGUAUGGGCACACACACUAAGGAAUACACGUUAAACUGGCUCUGUUCUCCUGAUACAGUGCGUACGGUAUCACCGCCGAUCCAACUCUGUCAGAACAUCCUGAAGUCAGUGGCAGCACAAGGACACGAAGCGACUCGCAGGCUGAGUCACCAAGUCCCGACAGUCCCGACAACUGGCCGCUGCCGCCGCACGGGGCGAAGAGCUGCUUAGUGCUGCCGGCAGUGGGGGCGGCCGGGACCGCUCAGCCGCGGGCCGCCGGGCUGCAGCGGCGGGGUCACCCGUCGUGGCCGGGCACCGCCGUUCCUUCGCGGGUCACCGGCUGCGCAGCGCAAACCCGCUCCCGGCCGUAGUAGACGGGCCGGGCCACGGGAGCCAGGAGCGUGAAGACGACGCAAGAGCUCGACGACGAGCGGCACCAACAGCGAGGGACGGAGCCGUUCCGCCACCUCGAAUCGACGGGAGCCGCUGCCGUACGGCGCGGUUGCCCUGUCUCGGCACGGCCGCGGCCCCCCCUGCUGCGGCCCCACCCGGACCCGGCGGCAGCGCGAGGCCGCCCGGUGAGGCCUCCCAGUGGCGCCGCCCCAGCGCCCAGCUCCGCCCGCGCCCUCGGCCGCGGACCCAUCAGCAGCCAGGCGCCGGCCCGCGGGGCGGCGGGUCGCUGUCCGGCGGGGGCGUUCCUUCCAGCGAACACAGACUUACUCCAGUGGCUCUGAAUGGAGCAGAACCGAGGGAGGAGGAGGCACUGCGAGAGCGGCACGUUCGUGCUCAGCCGCCCGGAUCCUGAUAGUGGGAGCAUGUUUGAACAAAAGUGCUUUAAUAAACUCAAAUGCAAGCUGGCUUCCUGGCCAUAGAUUUCACAUUGCUCAGUUAGAGGCAGAAAUCCUUCCAAGCACAGGCUGUCAAUUUCUUCCAGUCCUUUGUGAUUUCCAGAGGAGAAGGAUGAACACUGAUAUACAGGAGGCAGUUUAUGGUGAAGUGGCAAAGGUAUAGGUGCAAAAAUACAAGAUACAAACAAGUACACAAUAAUGCAGAGCAUCUUCAUUACUGUGGACUACCCAGGGAAAUCCAGUAACAUUUUUCAUGGAAUAAUCAUACUUUAAGCAGCUCCCUCAAGUUCUGGGUCAGAAGCCUGAAUGUCCUUAAGCAAUAAGGAAAAGCAGAGUCACUUUCCCAAAUGAGUACAAAUUUUUAAGAACGAAGUGUCCACCAUGUGUCACAUCAAAAUAUAUAUAUACAUAUAUAUAUGCAGGAGUGGGACCACAGGUUACCAUGUACCUGUUGCCAAAUGCUGGAGGGAGUAGGGAGAAGUUGUUGAAUGUGACUGCUGUUGAUAGCAACCUCAGCUGAAGGCACCAGGUUUGGUUCCAGCAGGCAGGCAGAAGGAAUCACGAGGCCCCAGAUAGCUGGAGGACACAGCUACUUAGAACAUUCCUUAAUAUUAACCUCCUCAGACAAGAAGAAAAACUGAACAGUUGGACCAAAACAUGGUGUAUGCAAUUAUAAGUGUAGAAAAAUAUGAUCUAUUAUGUAACAUUUUGCAGCCAUUUAUUCAUAUGUUUAUUCAUACAAGUGGUGAGAAGCUCAUUCAGAGAUUAAAUAGGCUGCAGAACCAUUGAUCUGAACCGAUGAGACUGAUACAGUGUGUAUUCACAAGAUCUAACUGGAGGAAAAAAAUGAUACCUAAUCAAUAGUCAAGUAUCAUCAAAGUCCUGCCUUAAGAGUAGAAAAGAGAUUACUGAGCCCUGCGUGUGGGAAUAUCAUUGUUUCAAGCCAAAGGCCACUACAAUCACAAGGUUCGUAUACCUGUUUUGUCUUCAUUCACUGUGUCUCAGUGAGCAGCAAUCAGCCAUAUCCAUUACUGAUCACACAGACGUUUGUGCUGUGCAUUGGUUCAGCCUACUGUAUGACCUAGUUGAAAUACAGAUCCAGACAAAAUUUCCUAGGAUAGGGAAUAGCAAGCUGCUGUGGACUGAUGUAAGCAGAAUGCAGAAUAGCCUGCACAUCUUUUCAAGUGGGUUCACUGUUACUUUGUUUGCUGCUUUCUCUCCCAGUGCUGAAGUCUAACAGCUGUAACAACUGCUGCAAUCUGAAAUUAGGUACACUUAUUUCUGAUUACUUUGUUUUAUCCCACUGUAGCAUCAUGUCAUUAACCCAUAUUAUAAGCAAUCUGGGGCAGCAAACGUCUCUUUCCUACUGGCUCUUUGUUUAAAGGCAGUCAGCAUAAAAGAGCCCUGGUGAAGACAUUAGUCACAAAUAGUAAUUAUCUAAAGGUAUUACUAAAUUAAUCCAGUAUGAAAAUGCAUACAUAAAAAUAGUAAAAAAAAUAAAUAAAUAAAAAAAAAUAACAAAUGCAUUGAAUGACAAUUCCUUAAAAAUAACUAGUAUUAUCUUGGAAAUAAUAAAGAAAAAAUAAACAUAACCAACCUUCUGAAUAAAAAAGGCAGCGAAACAUUAUUAAUAGUUGGGGGGGUGGCGAUGUACAUGAAGCAGGGACUGGACUGUGUGGAACUGGAAGUUGGCAAUGGCAAAGUUGAGAGCCUCUGGGUAAGGAUUAAGGGACGAACAAAUAAAAGGGAUGUUGUGGGAGUCUAUUACAGACCACCCGGCCAGGAUGACAACGCUGAUGAAUUAUUCUUUGCGGAACUAAGAGAUGCUUUGAGAUCAACUCCCCUUGUCCUUAUGGGGGACUUCAACUUGCCAGACAUCAACUGGGAUUACCACACAGCUGACAUGAGCAAGUCCAGGAGGUUCCUAAAGCACCUAGAAGAUAACUUAUUGGUCUUUCUAGCUUUAAUACCUUCUUUGCCUCUGUCUUCAAUGCUAAUUAUGGGCUUCGGGACCCAGGGUGCCCUGAGCUGGA